UGUAUUAUUUUCUUCUCCCUUAAUUAUAUGCCCUAGAUUGGAUUUCCACUCCUCCAAAACCCUCUUCUUCCCAAAAAGACCACGAUCAGUGCUUCCACACCGCCAACGAUGGGGAGUUUAGGGGGUACUGUUUACACGACCACCACCAUCGCCACCCACAUCAAGAAAUAGGGUAGAGAAACACUACUCCCAAUCGGAUCAACAGACGGAUUGGAGGCCGAGUUGAUGCAGAGCGCCAUGGCUCUUCAACAAGCAAAAAGGUUACUUGCAACAAUACUAUAUGUGGCCGUCGGAAUCGUUGCCUUGAAUUAGGCAGUUGCCCUUACAUGGUCUCUUAUGUCUCAGGAGAAACAUCUACUUCUGGAGUAUUGAUAGAGGAUGUCUUGCACUUGAAAAGGGAAGAUAAAUAUCAGGAACUUGUUGAGGCAUACGUCACUUUCGGUUGUGGAGAGGUUCAAAGCGGUUCAUUCCUUGAUGUUGCAGCUCCCAAUGGUUUAUUUGGGCUUGGAAUGGAGAAGAUAUCAGUACCUAGCAUUUUAUCGAGGGAAGGGUUUAUAGCAAAUUCUUUUUCCAUGUGUUUUGGACAAGAUGGGGUUGGAAGAAUUAGUUUUGGUGACAAGGGCAGUCUCGAUCAGCAAGAGACCCCAUUUAAUUUGAACCCAUCACAGUAAGUGUCCAACAUACAAUAUCAAUGUUACCCAAAUUCGAGUUGGAACAACUUUAUUUGAUGCCAAUCCGGCCAUCUUUUGCUAGAGCAGUUCUUUCCAAGGAUCAAUUGAGACAAGAACUCGAAAUGGAUCCUGACUUGCCUGCUGUUUUGGUAAUGGGAGGUGGUGAAGGAAUGGGACCUAUAAAGAAUACUGCAAUGACUCUUCGUGAAUCACUUUAUCACAAAGAAGCUGGCAAACCAAUUGGACAGUUAAUUAUCAUAUGUGGCCGAAAUAAAACACUUCUAUCCAGACUUGAAUCUGAAGAAUGAAAGAUUUCAGUCAAGAUUAGAGGUUUCGAAAACCAAAUGGAGAAAUGCAUGGGAGCUUGUGAUUGCAUAAUAACAAAGGCUGGACCUGGUACAAUUGCUGAGGCCUUGAUUAGGGGGCUUCCCAUCAUCCUAAAUGACUACAUUCCAAGACAAGUAAAAAGAAAAAAAAAAAAGAACUCCACACUUCUGGACACUAUUAAAAUCAACAAACUUUCAUCUAAGCUACUUCAAGAUGACGACAAUUGUAUAGAACACCUUUACGACAAGGUUCACACGCUAAUAACUUUAGACAAGUAAAUUUUACACCCACAUUUAUUUUGCAUGCAUUUUUUCUCCAUGUCAUAAUAGUUUUAAGAAUCUGUAUAACUAUAUUUGCUCUGUAUGUUUUUUUGUUCUCAUCUCAUAAUAAUUAUUUUAAUUAUAUAAUAUUUUAACUCUUUUGAAA